rnacentral:rRNA from 1 species
CACGUAGGCACCAAGCGUUGUCCGGAUUUAUUGGGUUUAAAGGGUGCGUAGGCGUCCCUGCAAGUUUUAGGUGAAAUGCUCAAGCUCAACUUGGGAGCUGCCUGAAAAACUGCCGGGAUUGAGUACAGAUGAGGUAGGCGGAAUCGACGGUGUAGCGGUGAAAUGCAUAGAUAUCGUCAGGAACACCGAUAGCGAAGGCAGCUUACUAAGUUGUAACUGACGCUGUGGCACGAAAGUGUGGGGAUCAAACAGG